rnacentral:rRNA from 1 species
UCUGGUGGAAAUGGCGGAGGGGUCACACCCGUUCCCAUUCCGAACACGGCCGUUAAGCCCUCCAGCGCCGAUGGUACUUGGGACGCAGGUCCCUGGGAGAGUAGGACUCCGCCAGAG